GGGAUGGUAGCUCCAGUGGUAGAGGCGCAUGCUUCGCAGGUAUGAGGUCCUGGGUUCAAUCCCCAGCAUCUCCA
rnacentral:tRNA from 1 species